rnacentral:tRNA from 1 species
GGUUGUGGCUCAGCGGUAGAGCGCUCACCUAGCAUGUGUGAGGCCCUGGGUUUGAUCCUCAGCACCA